rnacentral:rRNA from 1 species
UUGAGGGGCCCGCACAAGCGGUGGAGCAUGUGGUUUAAUUCGAUGCAACGCGAAGAACCUUACCUGGACUUGACAUCCCAGGAAUUCCCUGGAAACAGGGAAGUGCCCUUCGGGGAGCCUGGUGACAGGUGCUGCACGGCUGUCGUCAGCUCGUGUCGUGAGAUGUUGGGUUAAGUCCCGCAACGAGCGCAACCCUUAUUGCUAGUUACCAUCAUUGAGUUGGGGACUCUAGCGAGACUGCCAGCGAUAAGCUGGAGGAAGGUGGGGAUGACGUCAAAUCAUCAUGCCCCUUAUGACCUGGGCUACAAACGUGAUACAAUGGCUGGAACAAAGGGAGGCGAAGGGGUGACCUGGAGCGAAACCCAAAAUACAGUCUCAGUUCGGAUUGAAGUCUGCAACUCGACUUCAUGAAGUCGGAAUCGCUAGUAAUCGCGGAUCAGAACGCCGCGGUGAAUACGUUCUCGGGGUUU